rnacentral:rRNA from 1 species
AUUGAACGCUGGCGGCAUGCCUAACACAUGCAAGUCGAACGAUUGGACGACGGGUGAGUAAUGUCUGGGAAACUGCCUGAUGGAGGGGGAUAACUACUGGAAACGGUAGCUAAUACCGCUUACCAUCAGCUGUGCCCAGAUGGGAUUUGCUUGUUGGUGGGGUAACGGCUAACAAAGGCGACGAUCCCUAGCUGGUCUGAGAGGAUGACCGGCCACACGGGAACUGGGACACGGUCCAGACUCCUACGGAAGGCAGCAGUGGGGAAUAUUGCACAAUGGGCGCAAGCCUGAUGCAGCCAUGCGGCGUGUAUGAAGAAGGCCUUCGGGUUGUAAAGUACUUUCAGCGGGGAGGCGUUACCCGCAGAAGAAGCACCGGCUAACUCCGUGCCAGCAGCCGCGGUAAUAC